rnacentral:lncRNA from 1 species
UACACGGAUUUUGCAUCCCCGACAUUUGUCACUGUCCUAAUAAAAUGUGUAGACAUCUGAUGCUUGCCAUACUGUUGGAACACAACAGAUAAUGAAGGGUAAUUCAAGUUCCCUGCAUGGCCUGCCCUUUUAGCUCCACUGCAAUCUGCAUUCCUCCUAGUGACCACUUGAAUGUUGUUAAGUGUAUAAUUUGAAUUGCAGAGAAAAUCUAUAUAAUCAAAAGAUGUAAUAUCAUAGAUCAACCCAGGAUCCAUGGCCUUUUGUGGGUGAACAUGGCCAGCACCGAAAUCUAACACAGUAGAAACAUUUCCAGUAGACUCAUCAAGCAUUGUUCCGCCUCGAUUAUCAACUGUAUAAGCAGUUGUCAUCAAGGCCGACCUUAUUGCUGCCGGACUCCAUUCAGGGUGAGCUGCCUUUAACAAAGCAGCUAACCCGGAAACAUGUGGACAAGCCAUUGAUGUACCUG